GCUUGGGAAUAUGCCUUAUGGUGGGGGACAACAGUUGGAAACGACUGCUAAUACCCCAUAUGCCGAAAGGUGAAAGGAUGUAUCCACCUUAGGAAGAGCUCGCGUCUGAUUAGCUAGUUGGUGAGAUAAAAGCUCACCAAGGCCAUGAUCAGUAGCUGGUUUGAGAGGACGAUCAGCCACACUGGGACUGAGACACGGCCCAGACUCCUACGGGAGGCAGCAGUGGGGAAUUUUCCGCAAUGGGCGAAAGCCUGACGGAGCAAUACCGCGUGAGGGAUGAAGGCCUGUGGGUCGUAAACC
rnacentral:rRNA from 1 species